AGAGUUUGAUCCUGGCUCAGAUUGAACGCUGGCGGUAUGCUUAACACAUGCAAGUCGAACGGAAACGAAACUAGCUUGCUAGUAGACGUCGAGUGGCGGACGGGUGAGUAACGCGUAGGAAUCUGCCUGAUAGUGGGGGAUAGCCCGAAGAAAUUCGGAUUAAUACCGCAUAAUCUAUUCGUAGUAAAGUGAGGGACUUUCGAGCCUCACGCUAUCAGAUGAGCCUGCGUAAGAUUAGCUUGUUGGUAGGGUAAAAGCCUACCAAGGCAACGAUCUUUAGCUGGUCUGAGAGGAUGAUCAGCCACAUCGGGACUGAGACACGGCCCGAACUCCUACGGGAGGCAGCAGUGGGGAAUAUUGGACAAUGGGGGCAACCCUGAUCCAGCAAUACCGCGUGUGUGAAGAAGGCCUGAGGGUUGUAAAGCACUUUCAAUUGUGAAGAAAAGUUAACGGUUAAUAACCGUUAACCUUGACGU
rnacentral:rRNA from 1 species